CAAAGGUUUGGUCCUAGCCUUCUUAUUAAUUCAUAACAAAAUUACACAUGCAAGUCUCCACCCCCCAGUGAAAAUGCCCUCCAAAUCAAAGAUUGAUCAAAAGGAGCAGAUAUCAAGCACGCUUACACAAGCAGCUCAUAACAUCUUGCUCAGCCACACCCCCACGGGAUACAGCAGUGAUAGAACUUAAGCUAUGAACGAAAGUUCGACUAAGUUAUGUUAAUAAAGGGUUGGUAAAUUUCGUGCCAGCCACCGCGGUCAUACGAUUAACCCAAAUUAAUAAGCCCACGGCGUAAAACGUGUUAAAGAACAUAGCUCACUAAAGUUAAAACCUAGCCGGGCUGUAAAAAGCUACUGCUAGCAUAAAACAUGCCACGAAAGUGACUUUACUAUCUCCGACUACACGACAGCUAAGACCCAAACUGGGAUUAGAUACCCCACUAUGCUUAGCCCUAAACAUAGAUAAUUAAAUCAACAAAAUUAUUUGCCAGAGAACUACUAGCAAUAGCUUAAAACUCAAAGGACUUGGCGGUGCUUUAUACCCCUCUAGAGGAGCCUGUUCUAUAAUCGAUAAACCCCGAUAAACCUCACCACUUCUUGCCAAAUCAGUCUAUAUACCGCCAUCCUCAGCAAACCCUUUAAAGGGAGAAAAGUAAGCACAAUAAUUAGCGCGUAAAAAAGUUAGGUCAAGGUGUAACCUAUGGAGUGGGAAGAAAUGGGCUACAUUUUCUGAACAAGAACAUCACACACGAAGGCCUCCAUGAAAUUGGAAGCCAAAGGUGGAUUUAGUAGUAAAUCGAGAAUAGAGAGCUCGAUUGAAUAGGGCCAUGAAGCACGCACACACCGCCCGUCACCCUCCUCAAGCAACGUAAGCUGAACAUAACAUAUAAUGAAACAAAUCAAUGCAAGAGGAGACAAGUCGUAACAAGGUAAGCGUACUGGAAAGUGCGCUUGGAUAAC
rnacentral:ncRNA from 1 species